CCUACGGGGGGCAGCAGUAGGGAAUUUUCGUCAAUGGGCGCAAGCCUGAACGAGCAAUGCCGCGUGAACGAGGAAGGUCUUCGGAUCGUAAAGUUCUGUUGAAGGGGAAAAAGAGCGGAGAGAGGAAAUGCUUUCUGAUUGAUAUUACCCUUCGAGGAAGUCACGGCUAACUACGUGCCAGCAGCCGCGGUCAUACGUAGGUGGCGAGCGUUAUCCGGAAUGAUUGGGCGUAAAGGGUGCGUAGGCGGCCUGCUAAGUCAGCGGUGAAAUGCCCCCGCUCAACGGGGUGAAGUGCCAUUGAUACUGCUUGGCUGGAAUGCGGAUGAGGUGGGAUGAAUGUGUGGUGUAGCGGUGAAAUGCAUAGAUAUCACACAGAACACCGAUUGCGAAGGCAUCUCACGAAUCCGCGAUUGACGCUGAUGCACGAAAGCGUGGGUAUCAAACAGGAUUAGAUACCCCUGUAGUC
rnacentral:rRNA from 1 species